UUAAGUUCAGCGGGUAGUCCUACCUGAUUUGAGAUCAAACAUUCAAAGGGCUGUCCCCGCUUAGGGGAGACGUUUAUGAGCUCCAGCGAACCUCCAUCACUGAAGGUUAUCUGAUGGAAAACCACAAGCGCAGAUAGUUAUCACACCUGUGAUGCCACCAAACACUGGCAAGCUGAUCCAUUUGAGAGGAGCCGACCACA
rnacentral:misc_RNA from 1 species